UACGUAGGGGGCAAGCGUUGUCCGGAUUUAUUGGGCGUAAAGAGCGUGUAGGCGGCCAGGUAGGUCUGCUGUGAAAACUCGAGGCUUAACCUCGAGCUGUCGGCGGAAACCAUCUGGCUAGAGUCCGGAAGAGGAGAAUGGAAUUCCCGGUGUAGCGGUGAAAUGCGCAGAUAUCGGGAAGAACACCCGUGGCGAAGGCGGUUCUCUGGGCCAUUACUGACGCUGAGGAGCGAAGGUCAGGGGAGCAAACGGG
rnacentral:rRNA from 1 species